ACGAACGCUGGCGGCGUGCUUAACACAUGCAAGUCGAACGGUGAAGCGCCUUCCUUUUUGGUGGGUGUGGAUGAGUGGCGCACGGGUGAGUAACACGUGAGUAACCUGCCCCCUUCUUCUGGAUAACCGCAUGAAAGUGUGGCUAAUACGGGAUAUUCUGGGUCUGUCGCAUGAUGGGUCUGGGAAAGAUAUUGUUUCGGUGGGGGAUGGGCUCGCGGCCUAUCAGCUUGUUGGUGGGGUGAUGGCCUACCAAGGCGGUGACGGGUAGCCGGCCUGAGAGGGUGGACGGUCACACUGGGACUGAGACACGGCCCAGACUCCUACGGGAGGCAGCAGUGGGGAAUAUUGCACAAUGGGCGCAAGCCUGAUGCAGCGACGCCGCGUGAGGGAUGGAGGCCUUCGGGUUGUGAACCUCUUUCGCCAGUGAAGCAGGCCUGCCUCGUUUGUGGGUGGGUUGACGGUAGCUGGAUAGGAAGCGCCGGCUAACUACGUG
rnacentral:rRNA from 1 species